rnacentral:rRNA from 1 species
CUUUACUGACGCUAAAGCUCGAAGGUGCGGGUAUCGAACAGGAUUAGACACCCUGGUAGUCCGCACGGUAAACGAUGGAUGCCCGCUGUUUGCGAUAUAGUGUGAGCGGCCAAGAGAAAUCGUUAAGCAUCCCACCUGGGGAGUACGCCGGCAACGGUGAAACUCAAAGGAAUUGACGGGGGCCCGCACAAGCGGAGGAACAUGUGGUUUAAUUCGAUGAUACGCGAGGAACCUUACCCGGGCUUGAACUGCAGGCGAACGAUACAGAGAUGUUGAGGCCCUUCGGGGCGCCUGUGGAGGUGCUGCAUGGUUGUCGUCAGCUCGUGCCGUGAGGUGUCGGCUUAAGUGCCAUAACGAGCGCAACCCUUUUCAUUAGUUGCCAUCAGGUAAUGCUGGGCACUCUGGUGAUACUGCCACCGUAAGGUGUGAGGAAGGUGGGGAUGACGUCAAAUCAGCACGGCCUGAACGGCGGGGGCUACACACGUGUUACAAUGGGAGGUACAGAGAGUGGGUGCAUGGCAAUAUGCAUCAAAUCCUUAAAGCCUUCCUCAGUUCGGAUUGGGGUCUGCAACCCGACCCCAUGAAGCUGAUUCGCUAGUAA